rnacentral:rRNA from 1 species
GAUGAACGCUGGCGGCGUGCUUAACACAUGCAAGUCGAACGAACCUUCGGGUUAGUGGCGGACGGGUGAGUAACGCGUGGGAAUCUGCCCUCAGGAGGGGGAUAACGGCUGGAAACGGCCGCUAAUACCCCAUAUGCCGAGAGGUGAAAUGAAUUUCGCCUGAGGAUGAGCCCGCGUCUGAUUAGCUAGUUGGUGAGGUAAGAGCUCACCAAGGCAUCGAUCAGUAGCUGGUCUGAGAGGAUGAUCAGCCACACUGGGACUGAGACACGGCCCAGACUCCUACGGGAGGCAGCAGUGGGGAAUUUUCCGCAAUGGGCGAAAGCCUGACGGAGCAACGCCGCGUGAGGGAUGAAGGCCUCUGGGCUGUAAACCUCUUUUCUCAAGGAAGAAGAUCUGACGGUACUUGAGGAAUAAGCCACGGCUAAUUCCGUGCCAGCAGCCGCGGUAAUACGGGAGUGGCAAGCGUUAUCCGGAAUUAUUGGGCGUAAAGCGUCCGCAGGCGGCCCUUCAAGUCUGCUGUUAAAACGUGGAGCUUAACUCCAUCAUGGCAGUGGAAACUGUUGGGCUUGAGUGUGGUAGGGGCAGAGGGAAUUCCCGGUGUAGCGGUGAAAUGCGUAGAUAUCGGGAAGAACACCAGUGGCGAAGGCGCUCUGCUGGGCCAUAACUGACGCUCAUGGACGAAAGCCAGGGGAGCGAAAGGGAUUAGAUACCCCUGUAGUCCUGGCCGUAAACGAUGAACACUAGGUGUCGGGGGAAUCGACCCCCUCGGUGUCGUAGCCAACGCGUUAAGUGUUCCGCCUGGGGAGUACGCACGCAAGUGUGAAACUCAAAGGAAUUGACGGGGGCCCGCACAAGCGGUGGAGUAUGUGGUUUAAUUCGAUGCAACGCGAAGAACCUUACCAGGGUUUGACAUCCUGCGAACCUCUUGGAAACGAGAGGGUGCCUUCGGGAACCCAGU